AUUAGCCUGAGACAGGUGUGGACAAUUAGAAGCUGAAGUCACGAGAGAGAGACAGUCUACCGUCGGAACGGCAGCCGAUAAUGAUGAUGAGUGGUGCAAUGAACUAGCACCAUCACUCUGACCUUACACCGAAGGUUACUUGCAGCACAGUGAUCAGGCCCGAGGUGAAGAAAAUGGUGUUGAUGAGACAACUCUGGGUCAGGCUGUCGUGCUGCAGACACAGCCCCUCCGAGAGAAUGAGGGGGAUGGAGACGAUACCACCAAAAGCUGUCAGAAUGCUGUGUGGGCUAGCCAGAACCACCUCCACCAUCACUUUGGAAUUCAACCUAGUACACUGCUGUCUCUGGUUAGUUUUCUGGCCUGUUCCUUUAACUGUACACCUACCUAUAAAGAUGUGAUAAAACAUUUUAGGAUGCUACUUUAUAUUACCCCAAUAACGAUGUGGGUUCACCAGCCACAACAACCGAAAAUAUUUACAACACAUCCAUAGAACUUUAAAGUCCUUUUC